AUCAUCUGUAAUGGAAAAUGUUAAGUACUUAACGCAAUUAUUUUUCUCAAAAAUUAGCAAAGUUAGACAUGAUAUACAAAUUUUAAACAAAUGGCUGCAAUUACACCACAAUUUUACUAGUCCCAUUUGAAUGGAUUACAUGUCUGAAAGACCAUCAACUUAAGUGCUUCUGAAUCCAUGCCGUGGUGUGCUACUUACCACUUGCCAACAAAAGACUUCAAAAGCAUUUUAUAUUCUUAUGGGGAAAUACAUAUAUACAGAGAGAUGAACCACCUAAAUGACAGGGCUGGACUAGACAGUGUAAAUGUUAUGUGGUUUGUAUUUGUUAAAACAAUGAAAACACUUCAAUCAAAAAACGUAUAAAGCGUCGGGUUUGUUUGUUUUUUACAAAAUUGCUAUCUAUUAGUUGUAGAUGGAAACAAAUCAAAAUAACCAACUGCCAUGUUUUAUGUCAACAGGUAUUAACCAAUACAUUUUUAUUAAUUAUUUUAAUUUGUAAAAGAUUAUUACACUAGAAUGCAAUUUAACUUAAAAGAUCAACUUUACUAAGACAAUAUUAAAGGCUGAGGCUCUUAGGAACAGAUUUGUAAUCUACAGCUUUUGACUAUUUUUGCACUGUUAAAUGUCUAGCGCUUAUUUUACAUCAAACACUUUUCACAAACUACACUUCAGACAUAUUUCUGUAGAAGUGCCUAUAAUCAGUCAAUUAAAAGGGCCCAGUUGUUAUGCAUUAUUUAUGUGGACAUUGUUAUGUGAGAACUAAAGUGGUGGCAUCUGUGUGAAAUGGUUUGAAAAAACAGCAUGCUUGCUUCUGGUUUUGCUUUAAGAGAACCAGCUGCCAGCGCACACAAUGAUGCAAUCUUUUCAAGAAGCUUAAAACUCAUGCUCAAUCUACGUGUCGGAGACUCACAAACGGAUGGCUGGUUCUUUACAGUGGUCCCCCAGUACCCCAGCAAGGCUGACCUUCACCUAUAAUCCAACCCAGAAUUUCACUCUUUAGAUCAUCUUUAAAAAGUUUUAAGAUAGAGAAACCUAAAAAAAAAAAGUAGCUGCCAUAACAUACCAUGUCUCAUUUGAAAAUCCUAAGCUAAAAUGCUAAUAAAGAGGGCAGCUAUUUCUUCUUUUAGUGUUUUGUUAUCUGAAGAACAGGUUAGAUUAGAACCUGGGAGCGGAGUUAACUGAAAUGACAUUGAACAUGACUUUGCAGUUGCCAUAGGUAAAGAAAAGACAUGGUAUCAAUGCUUCUAGGGUGUUGCUUUGCUUUGUUUUUACCCCAUGCUUUUGGAUAAGUCUUUUAUUUAAUGUCUGCCUGUAGACAACCAGUGUGGAAAAAUGACAUUGCCUGUUUGCACUGAGUUCAGGUUUGGUUUAAAAUAUAUUAAAUAACAGAAUAAAUAUUAUGAUCUAACAUGGCCAAGCUUGUAGUGAACAUGCAUAUACCUUCCCGUCUUUGCUCUGGGGAUAUCUUAAUUUCCCUUUUUUCCUUCAUUUCUUUCCAUAUAUAAUGUUUUCUUUUGCCCUUCAGAAGAAAAAAUUGUCCUCGUCAAUCUAUCUCUUGCCUUCAUCCUUCUUUUUCUCUAAAUUGCCCAUUCUGUCCUACCCUCACUCACUCCAGGGCAUAUCCACUCAUGCCUCAAGACAAAGGAUUAUCUUGAUCCUUGUGUUAGAACAGCGGUGUUCAUUUGUGUCUUCCACCGUUUUUCCUUUCCAUUGAGAAAAGCUAAUCUGGUCUUGUUGGAUUGUUGGAAAAAUGCAUUUUGAAGAGAUCAUAUGUAUGAGGCAAACUUCUUUUGGCUCGGUUCCAUUUGACGCUCAUUCACAAAAUACCCAAGUAAAACAAGUGUCAUUGUUAAGAACCAAAUUAAGAUAAUUGAAUAAAUAAAUGAGGUUUGCCUUUUGCCUGUUUUCUUGCUGUUCUCCCACCACCACCACCCCACCCCGCCGCCUUGGAUGAAGGACUAUCAUCUUCUCAAUUGAGAAGCAGCAAUACAGAGCAUCAUGAAUAUGGUUCUCCAGUCAGUGGAAUUCUGUGUAGUGGGUAUCCUGCUCACCAUAAAGCCUAUGCAGCAGUAGAGCAAUAUACAUUUUAACUUUUCCUUUUUAAGAUCUAGUUCACUUCUAUUUUAUAAAAGGUUUUUUUUUAGUUUACUUAUAUUAGGAAAAAAAGAAGAAGAAGAAAUCAUAACAGUAGUUUGAAGGAAACUUUUGUUCCCCUAAGUGAUGGUUUUCUGCUUUCCCUAGUCUUGGAUUUCCAUCCUGUACUGGGCUGUGCUGUAUCAAGAAUGACACUCUUCCCCUGGAUCUACAUGCUUCAGGAGGCAACAAGGAUCUCCUACCACAUCUCUGCAGCCUGCGGGGUAGGUUUCCUCCUGUUUGUUUGUGUGUGUGUGAAGGGGGAGUCUACAGACCCCCACUGGGACUGCUACCUUGUGACUUUCAGAUUCAGAGCCAACAGAGGACUAUUUUUCACCUCAGUUUGGAUCUAUUUACAUGCUAAUACUAAGUGGAAAAUGAAAUUAUUUUUUUUAGCAAAAUAAAGGAUAAAUAGCAGAGAGGACACUAGAGUUGCCCUUGUGCUCAAUUUUAAUGAAGAGCCUUACUGUAAAACAGACCUUUCCAGACACUAAGAUGAAGGGAGGAAGGAAUUAAAAAGAAAGGACUAAGGCUGCAAAACAUCUGUUUCAUGAAUUGGAUGUUCUUAUAAAAAGUAAAAUUCCUGGUAUCAGCCAUUAGGGUAGCGGAAAGUUCUCUAGGAUUUUAUAACAUUUCUCCUUAAGCGAAAACAGUACUCUGGAAAAUUUAAUAGCAACAAAAGUAAAAGCAAAAGCUGCCUCUGAUUUAGGAGUAGGAAGAGACAGUGAGCAGGAAGCAGUUACAAAGAACUCAAGCUUUUGUUCACUCAAACAUCUUUACAACUAAAUAGCACUUGUUAAUCACUUCACAAUGUUCACGCUUUGUAUUUCACACUUCUUGGAGAAAAUGGACAAUUAAUAAUUUGCACAUGGACAGCGAUUACAGAGAACAGCAAAAUUAAGGAAUACUUUUAAAAAAUUUGGGAACAUUGAGAAAGCAAAUGUUGAGAUUUCUCCUACCAAGGAGUAUGUUAAUGAACUAGACUCUGUUUUGAAAAUAACAGUAGCUUUCUACCAUUCUAAAAAAAUAGUAAUCAGAUUUAAUAUUUUAGAAAUAAAUUCUAUAGAAUAUAUUCUCUGAGUUAAUUCUAGUUUUUCUAAGUAUUUUACAUCAAAUGUUGUGCAACCAUAGUACGGUAGAUGACAGAAUUACUCUUUAGCCUCAGUGGGAAAGCCUCACACCCCUAAACAUUGAACCAUUUCCCAUACCAUCCUCUUCUGCCCCUGUUCCCAACUGCUUCAGGAAAUUAAACAACUGGCACAUUUUUUUCAUGAGUUUAUACAACACAUGAGCUAUAAUAUGGGCGUUUCUUAUUUAGCAAAUGCCUUUUAAAACAGUACCAUGGGCGCCUCUUGCUUUAGCUCUGAGUAAGGGCAUCUGCUUUCCUGCAGGAGCAGCCUCGGGAAGCAGUUUCAACUGAGAGAAUUCAGCUGGCAAAAGAAGAUAACACGCGGGGGAAUAAGACUGCCUGUUGCUGCCAAGUAUAGCGUUGCAGGCAAACUACAAUCUUGCUGCUCAAAUGUUAAGCACUCAACAGUGGCUAAAAAUAGAGGGGGUAAUAGCUCCCUAAUCAGUUCUGCCUGGCCCCGGGACAAUGGAGAGAUUAUUUACAGCAGUUUCAGGUCUCCAUGAGGUGAAUGCUGUAACUGCUCAGCUUAACAAAGGCACCUGUGGAACCAUACCAAACCUGCCAUGAAUUUCUCCUCCUCCUGCUGCCAAUCGUAAGUGCUUUGCUGCACAGCGCAGAGCAUUCGGGAAUGGGCUCCAGUCACAUGCUGAAUCCCGUGUGCGUCCAGCAGGCUGGAAAGUCAAAUGCCUGGGCAGCAAGCGGGAUUACACAGCAGUCUGCCAUUUCAAAGCACUACAGCUCCUGCCUCCUGCGCUGGAUGACUUCCUUAUCGUCUCCUCUGAUAUUGUUUUCUCGAUUUUGUCACACAAAGAACAAAUGAAUUAAUGAAAGAUUCAAACAUUGCUCAAACAAGUAUUUGGGUAACUACAGAGGGAGGAAGAUUAUCAAGAACCAUCAAAUGCACUUUCCAAUACAGAACUUCAGGGAAACAUUAAGUUCUCUUGAUUGUGACAAUAUUGCUCAUCUGAAUUAAACUUGAUAUGUAAAAUUUC